CUACCCGUAGCCCAGCUGGAUAGAGCGACAGACUCCGACUCUGUAGGUCGUAGGUUCAAAUCCUAUCGGGUAGGCCA
rnacentral:tRNA from 1 species